rnacentral:rRNA from 1 species
GUUAAGUGACUAAGCGUACACGGUGGAUGCCUUGGCAGUUGGAGGCGAUGAAGGACGUAUUAACUUGCGAUAAGCUUAGUCAAGCUAGUAAAAAGCGCUUGAGACUAAGAUUUCCGAAUGGGGAAACCCACCUGCUUGCAGGUAUCGUUAACUGAAUACAUAGGUUAACGAGGCGAACGCGGAGAACUGAAACAUCUAAGUACCCCGAGGAAAAGAAAUCAACCGAGAUUUCGUUAGUAGCGGCGAGCGAACGCGAAUUAGCCCUUAAGUGGUUUGUAAGUUAGUGGAAUCUACUGGAAAGUAGAGCGAUACAGGGUGAUAGCCCCGUACACGAAAAUAAACUUAUCAUGAAAUCGAGUAGGUCGGCACACGUGAAACGUUGACUGAACAUGGGGGGACCAUCCUCCAAGGCUAAAUACUCCUAACUGACCGAUAGUGAACCAGUACCGUGAGGGAAAGGCGAAAAGAACCCCUGUGAGGGGAGUGAAAUAGAACCUGAAACCGUGUACGUACAA